rnacentral:lncRNA from 1 species
CGGAGACAUUGGGAGAUUGAGCACUCCUUCAGAACGAUUCUACGGGGAAAAAAAACAAAAAACAAAAAACAAAAAAACAGUGGCCAGAGACUUGAGCAGGAUGUGUGAAGGGAUUUAAUAAUGGAACUUGUGGCAACAGUAGACUUCAGAGACCAGACUGGCGGCUUGAAGAAAGCUAUUUUCUCGUACCAAAUACAUUCCAUUUCCUAAAUGGAAUGUCAGUAUUGCAACUGUGAUGCCUUUAUAUCAUGUGAGAAGAACAAUAGAGUCCUGGGAGGCAAGUGCAGAUGACCCCAAGGUCCUUGUGGACAAGGAAGUAAAAGCUAAGAAGAAAUGGCACGUUUCUUAGGAAACAUUUCAAUAUUGUUAUUUAUACAAGGAUGCAGAGAACAGUACAGCUGGAGAAUUAAAUGGAGAGAUCAGCGCACAGAUGGACUUGCAGAGUGGCAAAUCACUAGAGGGCAAACGUCGCACUGCCUUAGAAAUGGAGUUGGUAUUGGUGAAUUCAACAAGAGGACCAGAAGGAGGAGGAAGAGGGAAGAUUUUAAUGCUGUGCAGUGGUGCUCAGGUCUAGGUCAAGAACAAUGAGUCUCAUAUGAUUGUCUCUUGACUUUGACUAUCACGGUAGGACUUUACUGACAAGCCGGGUAAUAACAGGGAAAUCCUAUUCCUUUUGCCUUCAAAAUUUAUUUUGUCUUUAUUUCACUUGACCUGGUUCAUUUCCUCUAUAGUUUCUUAUUUCAGCAAUAUUUAUUGAACACUAUCAUGAUUAAUCAGGCACACCAGGUGCUGGUGACAGGAACAGUGAACAAAACGGACAAAAAUUCUUGUAAUCAUGGAGCAUGUAUUCUAGUAUGGAGAUAAAAAAUAAGCGAAAUAAGCUAACUCAUACAGUAUGCUGCAAGCUGUAAGCUGUUGUAUGUUGUGGAGAAAAUAAAGCAGGGAAAAAGGAGUCAGAGAAUGGUGGAGGGGGUUGCAGUCAGACUACCUGCUUAGCUGAGUCCUGCACAAGGAUAUUUGGGCAGAGAUAAGUAUGAGCUGACAUCCAGCCAUCUUCUGGUGAGAAGAUGCCUUUUUCUGAGUAAUGACAGGGCUCCAGAAGCCUCAGGUAGUGACCAAAAUGUUAAUCUCUGCCUUUAAAUGGGACACUCUUCAAAAUGUCCUUCUGGCAAUAUUGAGUUCUUAAGCUUUUGAAUGCGUUGGAUAUAAGCUUUUGCCAAGGUUUUAAAAUUUUAUGCUAUAACUUUAAACCUUUUUGUAGAUGAGAAAAUCACAUAUUAUUGAAUUAAAAUCUUAUUCAAGUCUAA